CAGCGCCACGAGUGGUAACCACGUUUAUUGGGCCUAAAGCGUCCGUAGCCGGUUUGAUAAAUCUUUUGUGAAAUUGUACAGCUUAACUGUACAGCGUGCAAGAGACACUGUCAAACUUGAGACCGGGAGGAGUCAGAAGUAUUCCAGAGGGAGCGGUAAAAUGUUAUAAUCUCUGGAGGACUACCUGUGGCGAAGGCGUCUGACCAGAACGGAUCUGACGGUGAGGGACGAAAGCUAGGGGAGCGAACCGGAUUAGAUACCCGCGUAGUCC
rnacentral:rRNA from 1 species